UACGUAGGGUGCGAGCGUUGUCCGGAAUUACUGGGCGUAAAGGGCUCGUAGGUGGUUUGUCGCGUUGUUCGUGAAAACCGGGGGCUUAACCCUCGGCGUGCGGGCGAUACGGGCAGACUGGAGUACUGCAGGGGAGACUGGAAUUCCUGGUGUAGCGGUGGAAUGCGCAGAUAUCAGGAGGAACACCGGUGGCGAAGGCGGGUCUCUGGGCAGUAACUGACGCUGGAGGAGCGAAAGCGUGGGGAGCGAACAGG
rnacentral:rRNA from 1 species